GAUGAAGAACGUAGCGAAAUGCGAUAAGUAAUGUGAAUUGCAGAAUUCAGUGAAUCAUCGAAUCUUUGAACGCACAUUGCGCCCCCUGGUAUUCCGGGGGGCAUGCCUGUCCGAGCGUCAUUACAACCCUCAAGCUCAGCUUGGUGUUGGGCCCCGCCGCCCCGGCGGGCCCUAAAGUCAGUGGCGGUGCCGUCCGGCUCCGAGCGUAGUAAUUCUUCUCGCUCUGGAGGUCCGGUCGUGUGCUCGCCAGCAACCCCCAAUUUUUUUCAGGUUGACCUCGGAUCAGGUAGGGAUACCCGCUGAACUUAAGCAUAUCAAUAAGCGGAGGAU
rnacentral:misc_RNA from 1 species